rnacentral:rRNA from 1 species
AUUGAACGCUGGCGGUAGGCCUAACACAUGCAAGUCGAACGAGGGGCGGACGGGUGAGUAAUGUCUGGGAAACUGCUUGAUGGAGGGGGAUAACUACUGGAAACGGUAGCUAAUACCGCAUACCAUCGGAUGAGCCCAGAUGGGAUUAGCUCGUAGGUGGGGUAACGGCUAACCUAGGCGACGAUCCCUAGCUGGUCUGAGAGGAUGACCAGCCACACUGGAACUGAGACACGGUCCAGACUCCUACGGGAGGCAGCAGUGGGGAAUAUUGCACAAUGGGCGCAAGCCUGAUGCAGCCAUGCCGCGUGAGUGAAGAAGGCCUUCGGGUUGUAAAAUACUUUCAGCGGGGAGGCGUUACCCGCAGAAGAAGCACCGGCUAACUCCGUGCCAGCAGCCGCGGUAAUUC